GGGCCCGCACAAGCGGUGGAGCAUGUGGUUUAAUUCGAUGAUACGCGAGGAACCUUACCAGGACUUAAAUGCACAAUGACAGAUUGGGAAACCAAUCCUUCUUCGGACAAUGUGCAAGGUGCUGCAUGGUUGUCGUCAGCUCGUGCCGUGAGGUGUCAGGUUAAGUCCUAUAACGAGCGCAACCCCUAUUCUUAGUUGCCAGCGGUUCGGCCGGGGACUCUAAGAAAACUGCCAGCGCAAGCUGUGAGGAAGGUGGGGAUGACGUCAAAUCAUCACGGCCCUUACGUCCUGGGCCACACACGUGCUACAAUGGUAGGUACAAAGGGCAGCCACUUGGCAACAAGGAGCUAAUCUCUAAAACCUAUCUCAGUUCGGAUUGGAGUCUGAAACUCGACUCUAUGAAGCUGGAAUC
rnacentral:rRNA from 1 species